CUCUCAGAGGGCUCCCAUCCUCAGCUUAGCACACAAGUCCUUUGUGACGUCGCUCUGGCCGCAUCUCAGGCCACCACCCACAACCCCCUUUUGCUCCGGAUGGGUGGAACCAGCCGCUGCUCCACCAGUGUUGGGAAGCCACCGCCCGGCCUGUGCCCCCUCAGUGCAGGGCCUGCCCAUCGCCUCCAGGAAGCCGACCCCAGGCCCAAUCGUGAUCUAGAAGCUUCUUCCCCACGCUGUACGUGCACCUGAUAGGAGAUCCCGCCAUCCUUUCUCAUAAAUGCUGAUCGACUCCAACUCGCCCACUUCCUGUGAGUCCCGUUUAUAUUGAAAUUCUAGCCUGAGCCCCACAUCUGGCUCACAGAAGGGACACGGAGGACUGACUUGACUUCUCGGGUACAUUUCUUCGGGGAGAUGACCUCAAAAAGACGACAACAUGGCCCACUCGUUCCGGACACUCGGGUCCUCUUUCUUCCUUUUGUUUCCUUCUGUCUCUUCCAGGGUGCCUCCCCUGUAAUAUUUGGGCCCCCCCGACCACCCUUCACAAAGCCCAAAGGGUGGACGGUUGAGAGGGCGUCCCUGUGCCAAGGGGCAGUCUGGAUUCCUUCCUUGAUCAGCUCCUCUCAGUUCAGGGCUUUUCUGAGUCUGUCCUUGAAGGGAUGUUGCCCAGGGCCUGCCCAGACCUGAGGGCAGAGGAAGACCCGCUCUCCUUAGGAGAGAGUCGAGGAUGAGGACUCCUCCCUGGACAUUGUGUCCAGGACACAUGAAGCCGAUUUCUCAGGUCCCUGGAAAGACAGGAGAUUCUGGAAAGGCCUUAGAUGGAGUUAGUCCUUCACUAAAGAAAAGGCCCGGGGAUGUGGGUCCCGUUUUAUUUCCUCAGCUGGGUGUCCUGGAGUGUUGAGGGCCGCCCACUUUCUUUCUUUCUUACCUUUUAUGUAUUUUAAGUAUUUCUUAAUCAGAAAACAAAGAUGUUGCUCCCAACUCCAGAUAUGAGAAAGACCUAACUAAAACACACCAGUCGAAGAGGAAGGAGAUAUUUAAAUGGUUUGGUUUUGCAUAAUCUAUAGAAAGCCCUGUUUGCAUAGCCGACCAGAGGAACUCCGUGCAGCUACAGUUGUUGGUUGUCAGGGGAACAGUCAGAGGUAGGUGGAUGACAAAGCAGAGGGGCACUGACUGACUGGGCAGGGUCAUGGGGCUGGAGCCAUCACUCUGGAGAAAGGACCGACAGGCUCUUCUGGCGCAGCCUCUGAGUUUGUCAGGGAUUAAAGGGUAAACCCCAGACCCAGGGAACUGGGUGGGAACCAUUCAUUUCCUGGGCCACUGAACCUCCUGCAGGCCAGGCCCUGUGCUGGGUGAAGGGGAAACAAACCCAACAAAGAUGAGUUUCUUGCCCUCCAGGGAUCCACGGACCACUCGAGUGAGACUGGAUCAUCACUGGGAGCACAGUGAGGGCCGUGGUCAAGUUCCAGGCUGGCCCAUGGGUUGACCAAGCGGGGGGCCAAGGGAGCUUCUCAGGGAGAUGUUUGGACAGCGUCUUGAGCAAUCGGUAGGACUUGCCCAGACUGUGGCAGGUGUUGAGGAUCUCGUGGACCCUCCUGCCCUCAGGGAGCCUGUGGUCUAGGUGGAGGACGAGCGUCAAACACUUCCGUACACAACUAAGGAAAAUUAGGGUAGGUGCUGUGAGUGUUGGUAACAAUUACAAAUGUCCUAGAUCUUAAGAGAGAUCUUGAGGGAGGGUGGAGCUCCCUGGGAGAGUGGCACAGGCUGUAACCCUACAAAUUAGGAGGCUGAGGCAGAAAGAAGGAUCCCAAGUUCAAGGCCAGCCUCAGCAAUUUAGCAAGGCCCUGUCUCAAAAUUAAAAUAAAAAGGACUGGGAUGUAGCUCAGUGGUAGAGGACCCCUAGGUUCAAUCCAAAAAGAAGGAGAAGAGAAGAAGGAGAAAACUCAUUUGGCAAAAAGAGGGGAAGGGCAUUUCUGGGAAGAGAGAACCUGCGAAUAUACCAAGGCCCUGAGCCAGGAGGGAGCAGGGCCCUUGGAAGGAGCUGACCCAAGCCAGUGUGGCUGCAUCAGAGUGAGGGAAAGAGGUGAGAAGAAGUGGGUUGGCAUAGGCCUUAUUAAAGGGAUUAAAAAAAAAAAAAGAAAAACUCUAUCUUAAGAGCAAAGGGGAGCCACUAGAGGUCUGAAGCAGGUAAGAGACUCAUCAGAUUCAUCACUUGGUGAAAUUCUGGUUACUCUGAAGAGAAUCCAUUUGUGGUGGGGACAGAGAGACCUCUUGAGAGGCUGUCAUGGUCACCAGGUGAGAAUGGAUUCUGCAUUGAACAGGAGCAGCAACAGAGAAGGAAGUGAAGUUGCAGAGGAAUAGCGCCUGGGAGCGAUUGCCGGCUUCCUGUUGCACUCUCCCCGCUGAACUUGACGGUGUCUUCCACUCGUCCUGACCACGGCCUCAGUUGCUGCCAGACGAGGCCAGAGAACCGACCUUAAAUCCCGAGUGUGGAUUCCCACGGAGACCCAGGAGUCACAUUUGAUGGAAGGAAAUGCGUGCAGAGCUCCUCUUGCCUCUGUAGCAAUUGGCAUGGCCAUCCUGUCCCCCUCGCCUCCUCCAGGCGAGGGUGCUGUGCAUGGGGUCUCGGGGGGGACUGCUCUGAUUCACCUGAAUCUGUGAAUAAGUAGAAAAACGAGAAAUAAACAGUUCAAAACAAACCCCAAAGGGAGAUGGAUUCCUUUUAAGCUUUUCCAAGCCGGCUGUGGUGUGAAGCCCCUGCUGCCCGGUGCCAGCCAGCCUGGGUUCUGAGUAGUCCUUGAGAGUACCACCUGGGCUCUCCCAUGGGGAAACCAAGGGUGUGGCUGCACCCGGCUUUUCUCCAGUCACUUUUUCUUUGCACUAGAGAGUUGGUCGUAAAUGACAGGAGCCCAGCUUGAACCAGCCUAACCAGAGAGGGUGGUUUCGAGAACACUGAGAUGGGGGAGGGAGAUGGUCACAGAUGUCAUGGAGGAGUUGACGGGUCAAGUGGCAGGAAGGGCAGGGUGUGGCUGAAAGCUCUGGAGCAACCAGAACCUAGGGCUGCAACACGCUCAGGACUCUUGCCUUCUCUGAUUUCUUCCUGACCGUCUGCUUCCAUCGUCCCUCUUCCUGAAGACUAGUUUUCUCCAGAGGACAGUCCAACAUGGCAGCCAACCCCACUGGAUAUCGUCUCUUAACAGUUUCAGCUGCCUGGGAGAGACUCCGAAGACAUUUUUAUCCUAGAUGCAAACUCCCAGGUGCCCAUGCCCAGCCUCAUCCACCAUAACUUUGGCAGCAAGGGACUUACAGAAGAACAGGGCAGCUCCCAAAAGCUGUUGGAGUGGAACAGGGGCAGGUCUCAGAAUGAGAUCAGCAGUCCACCAGCCAGAUAAAAUAUGAUGAUGCCUUCCACUACCUGUAUGCAUCGAGAGUCGAGUACCUUUAGAAAUGAGGCACCGACCACAAAAGUUGUUACACCUCUUUUCUUCUUUGGAUCGUUCGUUCAAAGAAAUGUGAAUCUGUGCUCUGGGUCUACGUCAUUCAUCUCUGACUUAGAGUUAACUGUUUUCUUAUUUUCCUUUAAAGCAGGGAUCAUUUUUUUUUUGUUUGAUUUUCAUUGACAGAGGCUUUAUAAACAAAGCUGCAACAUUCUAUCAAAAAAAUAAAAUGAAAUAAAUGAAAUGAAAUGAGGCACCCAGGGCCCUGUUCUGCCAGUGCUCGGUGACAUCAUCCUCUUGAAAGGACCAUCCCAUUCACCAUGGUGUGACUCAGGAGCAUCGCCACCUUCAAGGGCUGCCUGUAUCCAGAAUUUCUCAUGCACAGUGAUCUGUAUGAUUCUGAAGAUGACUCAAGACCCCGAACACAGCUUUGUAGCUGCAGCUAUUUCUGCAGAUACAAUAUUUGUAGGGAUCUCAGUAUGACUGCUUUCCUUUCUUGUCUUUCCUGACUUAUUUUUCAUUCCCUAAUUUCCUGUUUCGUCCCCAGUGCUCCCAAGAACUCAUUUAUCUUUCCAACAGGAGAGCAUGUUUCUGGCUUUCUGACCCCCAAAGCCCAGACUGACCUACUGAAACUCUGCUUCUGAGCAGGGGUCCAGACACCAGUGUUUUGAGAUCAUGUCAGGUGGGGUGGGGAUGACUCAAGGGUGGCAGCUGUCCAUCCCAGGAAGACAGGCUGCCCUGUCUGGGGUGGUGGGACACACUCCCACACCCACUUCUUCCCAUCCCUAACCUUCACCGUGUCUGGCUUACCUCCUCUGAUCCCUCCUCCGCACCUGUCUCCACCUCCGCUUUCUCAUCUGUGUGCCCCACACCUCCCACCUUCCUCCCCUUAAGCUAUAGUUUGGAUAUUUAAUGUCCCCACAGGCUCCUGUGCUAAAGGCUCGUUCUUCAGCUUGGUGCGAUUGGAAGGUGGUGGAACUGUUAAUAGGUGGGGCCUAGUGGGAGGUCUUCUGGUGCCUUGAUGGGAUAGUGGGACCCCUGGUCCUUCCUCUGCCUCUUUUCCUUCCUUUCUUUGCUGAGGAUUGAAUCCAAGGCUUCACACGUGCCAGGCAGUUGCUUUUUCACUGAUCUGCACCCCUGGCUUUGCUCCCUCUUUUCCUUCUCUUCCCAGCAGGAGAUGAAUGGCUUUUCUCCACUGCAUGCUACCAUGGUCUCCCUGCCAUGAUGUGCUGAAGCACUACAGGCCCCAGAGCAGCAGGGUCAACUGAGUGGGGACUGACACCUCCAUAACUGUGAGCCCAAGUUAGCCCUCUGCCUUUAUAAACUGGUUAUCAUAGGUAUUUGUUACAGUAAUGGAAAGCUGACUAACUUUAGGGCCGGUUCAUGACCCAUGUUGCACCCAACUCCUCAGCACCCCUUCACUGGACUACACCUGCCCAAAGCAACUGGGCCAAGUGACCAAGGACUGAAACAUCUGAAACCACGAACCCAGAUGAAACUUUCCUCCUUUAGAUAGCUUUUCUCUGGUAUUUUGUCACAGCAAUGAAAUGCUGACUAACACACUCUGGUUAAUAAAAAUUCAUUGAAUAUUUCAA